rnacentral:rRNA from 1 species
UGGUAGUCCACACAGUAAACGAUGAAUACUCGCGGUUGGCGAUAUAUUGUCAGCCGCCACGCGAAAGCAUUAAGUAUUCCACCUGGGGAGUACGCCGGCAACGGUGAAACUCAAAGGAAUUGACGGGGGCCCGCACAAGCGGAGGAACAUGUGGUUUAAUUCGAUGAUACGCGAGGAACCUUACCCGGGCUUGAAUUGCAGCUGCAUUGACUAGAGAUAGUCAUUUCCUUCGGGACUGCUGUGAAGGUGCUGCAUGGUUGUCGUCAGCUCGUGCCGUGAGGUGUCGGCUUAAGUGCCAUAACGAGCGCAACCCUUUUCCAAGUUUACCAUCAGGUCAUGCUGGGGACUCCUUGGAUACUGCCAUCGCAAGAUGUGAGGAAGGUGGGGAUGACGUCAAAUCAGCACGGCCCUUACGUCCGGGGCUACACACGUGUUACAAUGGGCGGUACAGAAGGUUGCCACCUGGUGACAGGGCGCUAAUCCUUUAAAACCGUUCUCAGUUCGGAUUGGAGUCUGCAACCCGACUCCAUGAAGCUGGAUUCGCUAGUAAUCGCGCAUCAGCCAUGGCGCGGGAAUA